rnacentral:rRNA from 1 species
GACGAACGCUGGCGGCGUGCUUAACACAUGCGAGUCGAACGGAAAGGCCCUGCUUUUGUGGGGUGCUCGAGUGGCGAACGGGUGAGUAACACGUGAGUAACCUGCCCUUGACUUUGGGAUAACUUCAGGAAACUGGGGCUAAUACCGGAUAGGAGCUCCUGCUGCAUGGUGGGGGUUGGAAAGUUUCGGCGGUUGGGGAUGGACUCGCGGCUUAUCAGCUUGUUGGUGGGGUAGUGGCUUACCAAGGCUUUGACGGGUAGCCGGCCUGAGAGGGUGACCGGCCACAAUGGGACUGAGAUACGGCCCAGACUGCUACGGGAGGCAGCAGUGGGGAAUAUUGCACAAUGGGCGGAAGCCUGAUGCAGCAACGCCGCGUGCGGGAUGACGGCCUUCGGGUUGUAAACCGCUUUCGCCUGUGACGAAGCGUGAGUGACGGUAAUGGGUAAAGAAGCACCGGCUAACUACGUG